rnacentral:rRNA from 1 species
AGGCUGGGGCAGCUUACACAUGCAGUCGAGCGGAACGAUACCCGCUUGCUGGUAGGCGUCGAGCGGCGGACGGGUGAGUAAUACUUAGGAAUCUACCUAGUAGUGGGGGAUAGCUCGGGGAAACUCGAAUUAAUACCGCAUACGACCUACGGGAGAAAGGGGGCAGUUUACUGCUCUCGCUAUUAGAUGAGCCUAAGUCGGAUUAGCUAGAUGGUGGGGUAAAGGCCUACCAUGGCGACGAUCUGUAGCUGGUCUGAGAGGAUGAUCAGCCACACCGGGACUGAGACACGGCCCGGACUCCUACGGGAGGCAGCAGUGGGGAAUAUUGGACAAUGGGGGAAACCCUGAUCCAGCCAUGCCGCGUGUGUGAAGAAGGCCUUUUGGUUGUAAAGCACUUUAAGCAGUGAAGAAGACUCCUCGGUUAAUACCCGUGGACGAUGACAUUAGCUGCAGAAUAAGCACCGGCUAACUCUGUGCCAGCAGCCGCGGUAAUACAGAGGGUGCAAGCGUUAAUCGGAAUUACUGGGCGUAAAGCGAGCGUAGGUGGCUUGAUAAGUCAGAUGUGAAAUCCCCGGGCUUAACCUGGGAACUGCAUCUGAAACUGUUAGGCUAGAGUAGGUGAGAGGAAGGUAGAAUUCCAGGUGUAGCGGUGAAAUGCGUAGAGAUCUGGAGGAAUACCGAUGGCGAAGGCAGCCUUCUGGCAUCAUACUGACACUGAGGCUCGAAAGCGUGGGUAGCAAACAGGAUUAGAUACCCUGGUAGUCCACGCCGCAAACGAUGUCUACUAGUCGUUGGGUCCCUUGAGGACUUAGUGACGCAGCUAACGCAAUAAGUAGACCGCCUGGGGAGUACGGCCGCAAGGUUAAAACUCAAAUGAAUUUGACGGGGGCCCGCACAAGCGGUGGAGCAUGUGCUUUAAUUUCGAUGCAACGCGAAGAACCUUACCUGGUCUUGACAUAUCUAGAUCCUGCAGAGAUGCGGGAGUGCCUUCGGGAAUUAGAAUAACAGGUGCUGCAUGGCUGUCGUCAGCUCGGUGUC